UUGCCAGAAAAGCCUCACCGACGUCAAAGCUGAGCCUCCUCCCCUUCCUCUCUUCUCCUCCUUUCUCUCCAUGCCCGUGUGCACGAUCGCCGGCGACCGGAGUCACCGAAUUUCUUUGAGAAAGGGAUUCGGUCUCUUUGGAAUGUUUGGGCAUCGGUGGCCGCCACCGGCUUGGCCUUCCUCUUGCCGUUGGGUCGCCCCCCCUCCUGUCGAUGGCUGCCCCAUGCUAGCUGCGCCAUCGAUCGAAACUCUAGUGAGGGGAUUUGAGAUCCCCUAUUUCGGCCC
rnacentral:lncRNA from 1 species